rnacentral:lncRNA from 1 species
GCCUCCUUGGUCUCUGCCGUGCGCCGGGGGCACCGGGACGGGACCUUCAGCCUGGUGACCGUCUACAGAUUCACCCCCAUGGAGCGGGAUCUGGGGGCGCUGUUCUCCUGCCGGGCACGGCACCCCCUGCUGAACCAGUCCCACCAGGCCGACUUCUGGAUCUCCUUCAGGGCUGGCGGGCUGGAGAUGGGGCUCAGGGUCCUGCUGUGGGCGCUGCGAGCGUCACUGCUGCUGGCCAUGGCCAUGGGGGGCUGGCUCUACUGCGACACCAGCAGCCGGCCGAGGAAGGUGAGGGCUGAGUUUGCCCAGCGAGUGCCCAGCACUGGCCCCAGCAUCGCUCCCCCGGCUAACACGGAUCCCUCUGGCCCUGUCUGCGCUGGGUCUGACACGUCCUCCCCUCACCCCUCGUUCCCAGGGACGGCCCAGAGCCUGUUUCGCUCCGUGCAGCCUCGUCCCGGCCGGGCGCUUGUGGGGCCAGACGCUCCAGAGCGGGGCGAAGAGCCGGGACGAUUCGGGUGUCCUGAGAGACAUUCCCGGGAAGGCACAGGAAAAACAGGGCCUGCCCCAGUGACGGGUGUGUGUGUGUCACCCUCACACCCGGGAAGAAGCGACCCCCAGGGCGUUGUUCCCUGCACCUUGUCCAGGGAGACGCCCUGUGCUGGCAUCAGCACCUGUAACCAGCCCUAGACAGCCGAGGGGCCUGGCCCCUGUGGAGACGGGGCCCCGAGCUGUGACCCACGUCUCUCCCUCUGGGCACUAACUCUGCUCUCCCCCCAUGGCCGGCGCACAGAUGGUGGAGCAGGUGAUGGAGCAGGCGAUGGAGCGGAUCUGGGACCCCCUGCAUCAGAGGUUCCAGCAGGCUCGGGAGGUGAUCUCCUCCUGGAGCAGAUAGGAGGAUCCCACUGCUGCCUGCAGCACCCUGGCUCUCCGUCCCCGCAGCGCUGUCCGUGCCUCCCGUGCCCCCCUUGUCCUGUGGCAUCUGGCGCUCCAGCUGUGAUGUUGUGCAGUCUAUAUGGUUUUAUACAAAUAUGCUAAUGGGUGAAUAUAAUGUAACUGGGAUAUGCUUCAUGCAAAAGGUCUCUUGUAAGGUAUCAUUACAAAGCUUAUAAUCUACUGAGUGUGAUCAUCCUAGUUGUAUAAAUGUACCACUCUUGUAUCUGAAGCUAGGAAUAUGAAAUAUAACUCUGAGGGCCUAUUGCGAAGUGUGGGCCAUUAAUGGUGGUUUGGAAUCUUAAUGGCUCCCAUCAACCAGGACAAUUGCCUGGGGCUCUGUUUGCAGGCCGGCCUUCCCGUGAGUCAGGAUGGGCGGAAUGAAGGCUUGGGGGUCUUGCAGUGACAUGUGAUCCUGUCACAUGAACUGGAAUCCAUCUUUAACCUGGUGCUUUUCCAGUG